rnacentral:rRNA from 1 species
UAGGGAAUCUUCCACAAUGGACGCAAGUCUGAUGGAGCAACGCCGCGUGAGUGAAGAAGGUCUUCGGAUCGUAAAACUCUGUUGUUAGAGAAGAACACGAGUGAGAGUAACUGUUCAUUCAGGUGACGGUAUCUAACCAGCAAGUCACGGCUAACUACGUGCCAG